CUGUAUGCAAUAUGUACAAAGUCAGCUCUGCAGAGAAUACAGAUGGUGAAUGUCCAAUUUGAACACGUUAAUCCAGCCUAAGUCAGUUUUUUUUCUUCCACCAAAGCUUCAAUAUGCAUCUGAUCUCAGGAUAUUGGAUUUUUCUUUGAGGCAAAGUGGGAAGAGUGCAUGAGAUCCUUAAGCAUGCUUCUGUGGGACUCUUCUAAAUACUGAACCCGGGCUGGUAAUCUGAUGUAUAGGAAAAGGACUUGAACUUGUGUCUUCUACAUCCCACGUGAAUGCCCUAACCCCUGAGCUGCAAAGACAUUCUCACACUUCAGCUGACCCAGUAACUAAUUAUUUACACAAAGAGGAGCAGCUUCAACAGGAGAGAUUGUGUCCCACUGGCAUACCCCACAGCCAACAACUAGUGCACACUCCAGAGAGGUAAGAAAUGCGUAUUCCAAUCACUGCCCUACAUCAGCUACGGGGAGUAUUGAACCUUAUUCUCCUACAGUCUAGGAGAGGGCACCAACCACUGGGCUAAAGGGGAGGCAACAGCACCAGCCACAGCAAGGAUGGGCUUAAGAGAGGGUUUACAAGGUUGACUCCCAAACCAAAUAGGUGCCUCGCUCCAACCUAGAUUUAGUUGCCUAAGUCUUUUUGAAGGCUGUGACUUAGGCCACACCCCUCUUCUCAGCAUUUCCUAUUGCUCCCUGAUCAGCUUGCUGGUAUCUGUGAAUCCUUUUCUGAGGCCCCCUAGGUCUCCCCCCUGCCUUAUACAGGGCACCUAACUUUGGGCUGUGGAGUCUACGAGGUAGUAGGGCAGCCCAAUGUUGGAUAUUACAAUGCUGAGCCUAAGUCCCCUUUGUAGAACUAUCCUUUAGCAUGAGACUCUAUCCUGGUCUCCCUUCAGCUUUUUCCUCUGCUCUGGUUGCACUAUUGCAGACUUUAGCAAUACAACUUCUACAGCCCAUA
rnacentral:lncRNA from 1 species